rnacentral:rRNA from 1 species
UUGAACGCUGGCGGCAUGCUUUACACAUGCAAGUCGAACGGCAGCGGGGGCUUCGGCCUGCCGGCGAGUGGCGAACGGGUGAGUAAUGCAUCGGAACGUACCCAGUCGUGGGGGAUAACUACGCGAAAGCGUAGCUAAUACCGCAUACGUCCUGAGGGAGAAAGCGGGGGAUCUUCGGACCUCGCGCGAUUGGAGCGGCCGAUGUCGGAUUAGCUAGUAGGUGAGGUAAAGGCUCACCUAGGCGACGAUCCGUAGCGGGUCUGAGAGGAUGAUCCGCCACACUGGGACUGAGACACGGCCCAGACUCCUACGGGAGGCAGCAGUGGGGAAUUUUGGACAAUGGGCGCAAGCCUGAUCCAGCCAUGCCGCGUGAGUGAAGAAGGCCUUCGGGUUGUAAACUGCUUUUGUACGGAGCGAAAAGGCUCUCUCUAAUACAGGGGGCUCAUGACGGUACCGUAAGAAUAAGCACCGGCUAACUACGU